AUCCAACAAAUGUGAGGUUUAAUAACUUGCUGAGUCAUCUGAGGCUUCUGUCUCAUUUCUAAUAAUAUCAGAAAAAUCCUAGUAAUCAAUUAGUAUAUUUUACAUGCAGGUACAUGAUGAACCAUCCAGUCUUUUCCACGGUUGACAAAUAGACAUGUAUACUUCUAAUAUUUCCAUAUUUUUACUCUAUUUCCAUAGGCUAAUGUGAACCAAAACCUUGGUUUCAUAUGAAUAAAAAGUAUCUCCUUCCUCUUGAGAUGUGACAAGGAUCAAAGUAUUGGGAAUAAUUCUACCAUCUCAUCCUCAAGAACCAGUAGGAAUUCUACCACCAGUAAGCAUUUUGUCCUGAAGAUAUUGACACUUCUCUCAAUACACUGUAGCACUCCUAUUACGUUAUGACUCUGCCUGUGCUUGUCAGCCAUGAAGCCAGAUCAUUAACUGUGAUGACUGGUCUCCAUGAUUAAAUACUAUGGUUUAGUGUGUCUCGGGGUGAAAUAAUCUGGGGUACUCAAUGUCUGUCAUAUAUGUCAGGAUCAAGAUUGUUUUUAAGUGUGCCUGGAACAAUGAUUCUAAUUGGAAUCUGAACAAAAUGAGUGAGAAAGUCACUUCUGUGAACUGAAGUCCAGCACAAGACACCAUACUAGGCAAAAAUGUGGAAGGGGUUCAGUUUGGUCAGCUGGUGUUACUAAUAGGCCUAUAGUAAUUGAAUUCUAUCCUGAUUGCAUACAUUAAGGAUAAUGAACUAUACAGAGAUCUAUCAAUUUCUGAUAUAGGAAUAACAUGACAACUCUUUGAGUGCCUGGCUGGCAGCAUCCAUAUAUUCAUAGUAACCAGACCCUGGAGAACCAGAAUGUGAGGAGAGAGACCAGUGAUUAUGCCUACCCUUGAGCCAUUCACACAUUUUUCUUACAUGCCAAAAUCUUCAGAGUGAGGAGAAGUUGAUUGAGAUCAACUAGGUAAUUAAUGUAAAGGAUAUGUGUGUUUACUGAUUUAUGUUUUAAGUAAAAGAAAUGUGUAAAUUGAAGAGUAGUUUAUAUUUGUCAAAACUUCUUAAAGCAUGUUUUAAUCUCCUUGCUGAUGAAAUCACAAGAAUUGCAACACAUUUUUCCCUCUGUCACCCUAAUAGACAUUUGGGCUGUGGACCUAAGUAGAUGCUGCACUAAACAUUUUUAAUUAUAAAAUGAUUACAUUUUUAAUUCUUGGUGUUUUAGAUAGAUUUUACUGCCUAAUAUUCAUAUUUUGUUAGUAAGCUUCAUAGUUAACAUUGAAGGGAACAUCCAGUUUUAUUAUUUAUUUAUUUUUGUUUUUUUGGGGGUUUUUUGGUCUCUUUUUUUAUUAUUAUAUGAAAUUUAUUGUCAAAUUAGUUUCCAUGCAACACCCAGUGCUCAUCCCAAAAGAUACCCUCUUCAGUACCCAUCACCUACACUACCCUCCCUCCCACCCCCCCAUCAACCCUCAGUUCUCAGUUGUUGUUUUUUUUUAACGUUUAUUUAUUUUUGAGACAGAGAGAGACAGAGCAUGAACGGGGGAGGGGCAGAGAGAGAGGGAGACACAGAAUCGGAAACAGGCUCCAGGCUCUGAGCCAUCAGCCCAGAGCCCGACGCGGGGCUCGAACUCACGGACCGCGAGAUCGUGACCUGGCUGAAGUCGGACGCUUAACCGACUGCGCCACCCAGGCGCCCCNUUUUUUUUUCAAUAUAUGAAAUUUAUUGUCAAAUUGGUUUCCAUACAACACCCAGUGCUCAUCCCAAAAGGUGCCCUCCUCAAUACCCAUCACCCACCCUCCCCUCCCUCCCACCCCCCAUCAACCCUCAGUUUGUUCUCAGUUUUUAAGAGUCUCUUAUGCUUUGGCUCUCUCUCCCACUCUAACCUCUUUUUUUUUCUUUUUUUUUCCUUCCCCUCCCCCGUGGUUUUCUGUUAAGUUUCUCAGGAUCCACAUAAAAGUGAAAACAUAUGGUAUCUGUCUUUCUCUGUAUGGCUUAUUUCACUUAGCAUAACACUCUCCAGUUCCAUCCACGUUGCUACAAAGGGCCAUAUUUCAUUCUUUCUCAUUGCCACGUAGUACUCCAUUGUGUAUAUAAACCACAAUUUCUUUAUCCAUUCAUCAGUUGAUGGACAUUUAGGCUCUUUCCACAAUUUGGCUAUUGUUGAGACUGCUGCUAUAAACAUUGGGGUACAAGUGCCCCUAUGCAUCAGUACUCCUGUAUCCCUUGGGUAAAUUCCUAGCAGUGCUAUUGCUGGGUCAUAGAGUAGGUCUAUUUUUAAUUUUUUGAGGAACCUCCACACUGUUUUCCAGAGUGGCUGCACCAGUUUGCAUUCCUACCAACAGUGCAAGAUGGGGGGACAUCCUAGUUUUAAUGCCUGAUGCUGAUGGAGGCCAUUUGGGGAAACUUUGAGACCAAGGUCUUAUGACCUUCAAUGCUUCCCUGUUUCAAGUACUGAGCAUGAAUUUUGUUGUUACAUAGUCACGUGACUAUAAUUUAUUUUUUAUAAUUUGUUAUUAAUAAAUUUCCAAUUAUGGUGGUUUUGUUUGUCAAAGUUUCUAAUUUCCCUGUAUAUUUUUUAUAGAUUUAGAGGUGAUUGUGGAAUUGGAUGGAAUUCCUAUUACUGCUCCAAUGAACUACUGAUUUUGUUACUUGUUACCAGCUCACUUCUAUGGGAAUAAUCAGAAUAGUGCACUCCAGAGGUAACAUUGCAUGUUUAAUAAAAUUUAUUAUUUAUUAUUAUUUACAUUCUAUGAUUUAUCUUUAGCAAACAAAAUUACAAAUGAUUUUGAGAAUCUGUUAAUACAAACAAUGUGAGGCCUUUAUAACCUUGGUCAUCUGAGGAUUCUGUGUACUUCCCCCCGCCCCCAGAAUUUGUAUGCUUCUUCUAUUAAAUAAUAUCAGAAGAUCUUACUUGAAAGAUAGUAUUAUAUAUACUUAUGUAUAGUAAACCUCUUGUGUUGUACAUGAUACAGAUGGAUAUGUAUGCUUCUCAUUUUUCCCUAAUUUUAUUCUAUGCUAGCAGAUCAACAUGGACUAAGAACUCAGUUUCAUAU
rnacentral:lncRNA from 1 species